rnacentral:rRNA from 1 species
ACCUACGGGAGGCAGCAGUGGGGAAUAUUGCACAAUGGGGGGAACCCUGAUGCAGCGACGCCGCGUGAGUGAAGAAGUAUUUCGGUAUGUAAAGCUCUAUCAGCAGGGAAGAAAAUGACGGUACCUGACUAAGAAGCCCCGGCUAACUACGCGCCAGCAGCCGCGGUAAUACGUAGGGGGCAAGCGUUAUCCGGAUUUACUGGGUGUAAAGGGAGCGUAGACGGCUGUGCAAGUCUGAAGUGAAAGCCCAGGGCUCAACCCUGGGACUGCUUUGGAAACUGUGGAGCUAGAGUGCUGGAGAGGUA